rnacentral:rRNA from 1 species
CUACGGGCCGCUGCAGUGAGGAAUAUUGGUCAAUGGGCGAGAGCCUGAACCAGCCAUCCCGCGUGCGGGAUGACGGCCCUAUGGGUUGUAAACUGCUUUUCCAUACCAAGAAACCUGAUUACGUGUAAUUAGUUGCCGGUAGUAUGGGAAUAAGCAUCGGCUAACUCCGUGCCAGCAGCCGCGGUAAUACGGAGGAUGCAAGCGUUAUCCGGAUUCAUUGGGUUUAAAGGGUGCGCAGGUGGGCUUGUAAGUCAGUGGUGAAAUGUUGCCGCUUAACGGUAAAAUUGCCAUUGAUACUGCAAGUCUUGAAUAUAGUUGAGGUAGGCGGAAUGUGUUGUGUAGCGGUGAAAUGCAUAGAUAUGACACAGAACACCGAUUGCGAAGGCAGCUUACUAAGCUAUUAUUGACGCUGAGGCACGAAAGCGUGGGGAUCGAACAGGAUUAGAUACCCUGGUAGUC